GCCAGGGUAUUACGAGCCAAGCUUAAAACCCAAAGGACUUGACGGUGCCCCAUAUCCCCCUAGAGGAGCCUGUCCUAUAAUCGAUGAUCCCCGUUUAACCUCACCGAUUCUAGCUUUUUCAGCCUGUAUACUUCCGUCGUCAGCUUACCACAUGAGCGCGACAAUUCAAGUGAGCCUAAUGUCCAAUAAUUAAUUAUACCGUCAAUACCUCAGGUCAGAGUGCAGCAAAUGGAGCGGGCAGGAGAUUGGCUACACUUUUUAACUUGGAAAAAUACGAAACGACCAAAUGAAACUUUGUCAGAAGGUGGAUUUAGAAGUCAGGAGAAUUCAAGAUUUUCUUUUAAUCCAGGCACUGGGGCGUGU
rnacentral:rRNA from 1 species